AUUGAACGCUGGCGGCAGGCCUAGCACAUGCAAGUCGAGCGGAUGACGGGAGCUUGCUCCUUGAUUCAGCGGCGGACGGGUGAGUAAUGCCUAGGAAUCGGCCUGGUAGUGGGGGACAACGUUUCGAAAGGAACGCUAAUACCGCAUACGUCCUACGGGAGAAAGCAGGGGACCUUCGGGCCUUGCGCUAUCAGAUGAGCCUAGGUCGGAUUAGCUAGUUGGUGGGGUAAUGGCUCACCAAGGCGACGAUCCGUAACUGGCCUGAGAGGAUGAUCAGUCACACUGGAACUGAGACACGGUCCAGACUCCUACGGGAGGCAGCAGUGGGGAAUAUUGGACAAUGGGCGAAAGCCUGAUCCAGCCAUGCCGCGUGUGUGAAGAAGGUCUUCGGAUUGUAAAGCACUUUAAGUUGGGAGGAAGGGCAGUAAGCUAAUACCUUGCUGUUUUGACGUUACCGACAGAAUAAGCACCGGCUAACUCUGUGCCAGCAGCCGCCGUAAGAC
rnacentral:rRNA from 1 species